GGCAUCUGGUUAGAGAAAGCUGUUGUCCUGAGGGUGUAGCUACUAAAAAAAGCACAGGGAGGAACAGUCAACGGGUACAUCCAAGCCACUUCUAUCAUCGCCACCACUUAGGGAUUAAAUAUCACAUUUAAAGGCCAGGGGCUACAGGCAGAUGCUAAGCUACUUUAUCUUGGUGCCAUGAAUGGGAUUGGAGGGUGACCUUUCCUGAUCACCUGCUUCCACCAACAUCAGAAGAGGGCCAUAAACAACUUUGACUCUGCGAUCUUCUCCAAGCAAACACACGAGAAAACACACAUGAUUUGGAUCCAGCUUCUUUUGCAGGCCUUGAAGAUGGGGCUGUGUUUCAGGACCGAUUCAUGCCAAGAAUGCUGGGAUUCAAAGGUGUUGCUGGAGGUGUGACCUGUGAUUCUGCAGGAGCAUUCGAAACAUGGAAGAAGCAGAGUACGCAGUUGGUCAAACUGAAAACACCCCAAGAAAUUUAGAGGAAAUUAAAAUGUUGCUUACGUUAGAGAAAAACUGGAAACAAGAAAGCAGAAGGAAGAUCAGAUGAGGCAAACCAAAAAGAAGAACAUUCGUAGAUCAGCAAUUGACUGGCAAUAUACAUCGCAGUGUGAAAUUUUCUGCUUAGCAUUCAUUGCAUUUUCUUGGCUUGGCAGUAUGUCACACACAAAAAUGCCUCGUUUUUAUAAUUGCUCCGUUCCAUUUAUUCAUUCUCUAAGUUAUUGUUAAUCAGCCUGUGCCCACUAUUUCAAUAUACAUUUCUCUCUCUCUCUCUCCCUCCCUCUCUCCCUCUCUCUCUUUCUCCCUCUCUUCCUCUCUCCCUUUCUCUC